AUGAAAUCCUUAGGUGUUUCCCUCAUGGUCCUGUGGCUCCAGUUAAAUGGGGUGAGCAGCCAGCAGAAGGUGCAGCAGACCCCGGAAUCCCUCAGUGUCCCAGAAGGAGCCAUGGCCUCUCUCAACUGCACUUUCAGUGAUAGGGCUUCUCAGUACAUCUGGUGGUACAGACAGCAUCCUGGGAAAAGCCCCAAGGCGCUGAUGUAUGUCAUCUCCAAUGGUGAAAAGGAAGAAGGCAGAUUCACAGCUCACCUCAAUAAAGCCAGCCUGCAUGUUUCCCUGCACAUCAGAGACUCCCAGCCCAGUGACUCGGCUGUCUACCUGUGUGCAGUGAGCACACAGUGCUCCUCAGGCACCUGA